GACGAACGCUGGCGGCGUGCUUAACACAUGCGAGUCGAACGGUAAGGCCCCAGCUUGCUGGGGUACACGAGUGGCGAACGGGUGAGUAACACGUGGGUGACCUGCCCUGCACUUCGGGAUAAGCCUGGGAAACUGGGUCUAAUACCGGAUAGGACCGCACCGUGAGGGUGUGGUGGAAAGUUUUUCGGUGUGGGAUGGGCCCGCGGCCUAUCAGCUUGUUGGUGGGGUAAUGGCCUACCAAGGCGGCGACGGGUAGCCGGCCUGAGAGGGUGGACGGCCACAUUGGGACUGAGACACGGCCCAGACUCCUACGGGAGGCAGCAGUGGGGAAUAUUGCACAAUGGGCGGAAGCCUGAUGCAGCGACGCCGCGUGGGGGAUGACGGCCUUCGGGUUGUAAACUCCUUUCACCAUCGACGAAGGUUUUCUGACGGUAGAUGGAGAAGAAGCACCGGCUAACUACGUG
rnacentral:rRNA from 1 species